CCUCCGCCCUGGCAGCAGAACGGCUCCCGUAAGCCGCCCGCGGCGGGAAGGGGAGUGUCUGCUCAGCCAAGGCGGUCAUGGCCUAGCGCGGGGCUGCGGCCAGAACAGCUGAGAUUUCCAUGUUUAAGAACCAAUAAAAUAAUUAGAAUCCCAGAAACUAGUAUUACAGAAAAGCUAAUGCUCUGAAGGGUGACAAGAAGGAGGCACUAUACAACUAAAAGAAAACUCACAUUUAUUGGUAAGUAAUACACAAUGACAGAUCAGAACACUGUCUUUCAUGAAAAUUAGGAUUUUGAAGUGAUCAGACAAGAAUAUAAGGAAGGUAAGAGGGAACAAAACACACCACUAUGCUAGUGUAUGCCUAUUGUAUAAAGUGACUUGAAUCAUGCUUGCAAUGAAUGUCGAGGGAAAAUAACCAAAGCAAAGAUAAAUGCACGAUAUAUGGACAGGAUGUUGGCAGAGCUUCACAUAGUCAAUCUAUAUCUAGUCUGUUAAAAGAAGCUACAAGAAGGCUGUAAAAUUUGAUGACCUUGAGUAGGGAAUGGCAGAAAAGAGGAGACUUUUCUAAGCUGCUGAUAUAAAAACACUUCUAGCCUUAAUUAGUGAAGAAAGUGCCACUCCUUUUAUUGCUCAUUAGAUAGGUAUUUUUCAUCCAUUUAAAUUAAUGGGUUAUUAUUUCUCCUUGGCCUUCCAUCUCUGUGGUUUGUUGUUUGUUUGUUUUUUAAAUCUCAAUUCUGCCAUUUCAGGGUCCGACAAUGUUUUGAAC